UUCCCCGUUCGAUGUUCUAAAGAAUAUUGUAGUGGUAACGGUUCGCCAAAACCGUUGAUUGUCUAGUACCACAUCAAUCUACCACACAAUUUUCAUUUAGAACUGACAACGGGUUUUUUG
rnacentral:sRNA from 1 species